rnacentral:rRNA from 1 species
UACGUAGGUGGCAAGCGUUACUCGGAAUCACUAGGCGUAAAGCGCAGGUAGGCGGUUCGGUAAGUCUUUUGUGAAAGCUCCCGGCUUAACUGGGAGAGGUCAAAGGAAACUACCGGGCUAGAGUGUGGUAGGGGAAACUGGAAUUCCUGGUGUAGCGGUGAAAUGCGUAGAUAUCAGGAGGAACACCUAUGGCGAAAGCAGGUUUCUGGGCCAUCACUGACGCUGAGCUGCGAAAGCUAGGGGAGCAAACAGG